UGGACGUGAGUCUCCAUGAACUCUGGGAGUUGGUGAUGGACAGGGAGGCCUGGCGUGCUGCGAUUCAUGGGGUCGCAAAGAGUCGAACACGACCGAGCGACUGAACUGAACUGAACUGAACAGAGAACAAAAGCAUUCUAACCACACCUCAUCUCUCCUAAUGUUCUGAAGUGGUUCCAGACUGUGAACAAGGCUAAAAGAUACUAGGAUGCGCUCACAAUCGAUACAGUUAUUGGGCCAAUUUCUGUACCUGACAUACCCUUCCUUUGGGAGGAAAUCCCUCUGGGGCACCUGGCGGAAACAUUUGAAUCGAUUCCCAGCAGACUGUCCAACCAGGGUGCGCUGCUUGUGUAGACAAGCAGGCAGACAAGCAGGCACUGGGCGUAGUUAGACUCCACUGGAGAUACCCUUUUGAGGUUAAGUGGUUUUGAGUGACAAAGUAGCUCUUCUUUCAAGACAAGGAGUGGCUUGGAUUUUUUCUUGUAGGGAAAGAGACAAUGUCUUUUAGAAGGAAAGGAUAGAUAAGGCUUGGAUGGGUGCUUGGGCGAAUGAAUGAAAAGACUGAAAAUUUAUUAUGGAAAUGUAACUUAACUAUCUGCCAGUCCUGGGAAAUUUAAAGUUAUCUAAGCAUUGACCUUGACCUACGAACUAAUGGGACUUAGUUCAGAGCUACAAUUCACAAUUGUUAUGUUACUUUUCUUUUUUUUUUUAAUAGCAGUGAACAUCAUUUGGAUGUGUGAUAGUGUUGUCUAAGAGUUCCAAAGAAGUCCCCAUUUCCAGGGGAAAAUUUCCCUCUGCAUUACCAUCCUCUGGGAUUUCUCCCAACUACCUUAUGUUGUAUUACUAUGUUGUAAUCAUUUUGCAAUUGCUCUACUUCUGGACAAAUAAGAUAUGCAGCUUUAUUUUGGUAUGUUGACUUUUUGAGGAAAAGUCUUUGGGUGUUCACGGAGUCAUUGGAAUAAAAAUCUGGGGCCCAAACACACUUUUUUAUUUUCGUUAAAACCUAUUUUUCCAUAUAAACAAGUUUGAUCACAUAACACUAAAUGUGAUAGAGCACAUGUAGAAAUUGCAGCUGGCCACAGGAUGUAAAUGGGACGUAGAAUUUUGUAGUUAGAAUUUACCAUAGAGGUGACAGCAACUUAUUUUUAUAAAAACAAAAUCCGAUUGUUGCUCACUUCUCUUUCUCAGAAUUCACUCGCAGGCUUUGUCUUGAUCCUAUGAGUCAUGUUACCAUCUGGCCUUGGGAAGUGGGCCCCACCACAUCUGUGAUUCUGUCUCCUGCAAACACAACAUGAAAAGACCAACAGGGGCUGAAAAAUUGACUUAAAAUUAUUGCUUUCAAACCCACUAUCUUUUCUGCAAAGACAAAAUGGUUUGUGACUUCAAGAUAAUCAUAAUUUAGAAUGAGAUAUCAAAGACCGUUUUCCUAACAGGUUCCUGCGGUGGUUUUUCUGUCUCAAAAUCCCAAUUCAAGAUUGUCUUGAGACCUGGAAACUGAGAUACCAAGACCAUCAGAUUAUCUCAUGAAACCAGACUGAAAAUAAUUCUGUAACUCACACUGAUCUUGGCUACCAAAGGAUCUCAGUAGAUGAAUAUAAUGUGGAAGUAAACUUUAACUUGCUC